GACCUCAUUUCAUGGAUCAGUGAACAAGGUUAAGUUUUGGUGGUCAAGUCCAUAUCUCAGAUACUACAAGCAAUAGGGCUAGUAUAUUCGUUGUAUGGAAGGACUGUAAGGUGUACAUGUCCAACUGGCAGGUGUCAUCUGACCUUGACCUCAUUUUCAUGGAUCAGUGGUUAUAGUUAAAUUUUUGUGUUUUGGUCUGUUUUUCUCAUACUAUAUGCAAUAGGUCU
rnacentral:lncRNA from 1 species